rnacentral:rRNA from 1 species
CAGUAGCCGCGGGAAUACAGAGGGUGCGAGCGUUAAUCGGAUUUACUGGGCGUAAAGCGUGCGUAGGCGGCUUCUUAAGUCGGAUGUGAAAUCCCUGAGCUUAACUUAGGAAUUGCAUUCGAUACUGGGAAGCUAGAGUAUGGGAGAGGAUGGUAGAAUUCCAGGUGUAGCGGUGAAAUGCGUAGAGAUCUGGAGGAAUACCGGUGGCGAAGGCGGCCCCCUGGACAAAGACUGACGCUCAGGUGCGAAAGCGUGGGGAGCAAACAGGAUUAGAUACCCCGGUAGUCCCUGUCUCUUAUAC